CCUACGGGAGGCAGCAGUGGGGAAUAUUGCACAAUGGGGGAAACCCUGAUGCAGCGACGCCGCGUGAAGGAAGAAGUAUUUCGGUAUGUAAACUUCUAUCAGCAGGGAAGAAAAUGACGGUACCUGACUAAGAAGCCCCGGCUAACUACGUGCCAGCAGCCGCGGUACUACGUAGGGGGCAAGCGUUAUCCGGAUUUACUGGGUGUAAAGGGAGCGGAGGCGGUUUAGCAAGUCAGAAGUGAAAGCCCGGGGCUCAACUCCGGGACUGCUUUUGAAACUGUUGAACUAGAUUGCAGGAGAGGUAAGUGGAAUUCCUAGUGUAGCGGUGAAAUGCGUAGAUAUUAGGAGGAACACCAGUGGCGAAGGCGGCUUACUGGACUGUAAAUGACGCUGAGGCUCGAAAGCGUGGGGAGCAAACAGGAUUAGAUACCCCUGUAGAC
rnacentral:rRNA from 1 species